rnacentral:rRNA from 1 species
GACAGAGGCCUCGAGCGUUAGGCGGAAUCACUGGGCUUAAAGCGUGUGUAGGCGGAUCGUUAAGUGCCUUGUGAAAUCCCACGGCUUAACUGUGGAACGGCUGGGCAUACUGGCGGUCUUGAGCCAUCUAGGGGCGACUGGAACAAACGGUGGAGCGGUGAAAUGCGUAGAUAUCGGGAGGAACACCUGAGGCGAAGGCGGGUUACUGGGCUGAUACUGACGCUGAUGCGCGAAAGCCAGGGGAGCAAACGGG